CGACCCUUUGGAAGAGAUGUAUUUAUUAGAUAAAAAAUCAAUGUCUUCGGACUCUUUGAUGAUUCAUAAUAACUUUUCGAAUCGCAUGGCCUUGUGCUGGCGAUGGUUCAUUCAAAUUUCUGCCCUAUCAACUUUCGAUGGUAGGAUAGUGGCCUACCAUGGUUUCAACGGGUAACGGGGAAUAAGGGUUCGAUUCCGGAGAGGGAGCCUGAGAAACGGCUACCACAUCCAAGGAAGGCAGCAGGCGCGCAAAUUACCCAAUCCUAAUUCAGGGAGGUAGUGACAAUAAAUAACGAUACAGGGCCCAUUCGGGUCUUGUAAUUGGAAUGAGUACAAUGUAAAUACCUUAACGAGGAACAAUUGGAGGGCAAGUCUGGUGCCAGCAGCCGCGGUAAUUCCAGCUCCAAUAGCGUAUAUUAAAGUUGUUGCAGUUAAAAAGCUCGUAGUUGAACUUUGGGCCCGGUUGGCCGGUCCGAUUUUUUCGUGUACUGGAUUUCCAACGGGGCCUUUCCUUCUGGCUAACCUUGAGUCCUUGUGGCUCUUGGCGAACCAGGACUUUUACUUUGAAAAAAUUAGAGUGUUCAAAGCAGGCGUAUUGCUCGAAUAUAUUAGCAUGGAAUAAUAGAAUAGGACGUUUGGUUCUAUUUUGUUGGUUUCUAGGACCAUCGUAAUGAUUAAUAGGGACGGUCGGGGGCAUCAGUAUUCAAUUGUCAGAGGUGAAAUUCUUGGAUUUAUUGAAGACUAACUACUGCGAAAGCAUUUGCCAAGGACGUUUUCAUUAAUCAAGAACGAAAGUUAGGGGAUCGAAGAUGAUCAGAUACCGUCGUAGUCUUAACCAUAAACUAUGCCGACUAGGGAUCGGGUGGUGUUUUUUUAAUGACCCACUCGGCACCUUACGAGAAAUCAAAGUCUUUGGUUCUGGGGGAGUAUGGUCGCAAGGCUGAAACUUAAAGGAAUUGACGGAAGGGCACCACCAGGAGUGGAGCCUGCGGCUUAAUUUGACUCAACACGGGGAAACUCACCAGGUCCAGACACAAUAAGGAUUGACAGAUUGAGAGCUCUUUCUUGAUUUUGUGGGUGGUGGUGCAUGGCCGUUCUUAGUUGGUGGAGUGAUUUGUCUGCUUAAUUGCGAUAACGAACGAGACCUUAACCUACUAAAUAGUGGUGCUAGCAUUUGCUGGUUAUCCACUUCUUAGAGGGACUAUCGGUUUCAAGCCGAUGGAAGUUUGAGGCAAUAACAGGUCUGUGAUGCCCUUAGACGUUCUGGGCCGCACGCGCGCUACACUGACGGAGCCAGCGAGUCUAACCUUGGCCGAGAGGUCUUGGUAAUCUUGUGAAACUCCGUCGUGCUGGGGAUAGAGCAUUGUAAUUAUUGCUCUUCAACGAGGAAUUCCUAGUAAGCGCAAGUCAUCAGCUUGCGUUGAUUACGUCCUGCCCUUUGUACACACCGCCCGUCGCUAGUACCGAUUGAAUGGCUUAGUGAGGCCUCAGGAUCUGCUUAGAGAAGGGGCAACUCCAUCUCAGAGCGGAGAAUUUGGACAAACUUGGUCAUUUAGAGGAACUAAAAGUCGUAACAAGGUUUCCGUAGUGAACCUGCGGAAG
rnacentral:rRNA from 1 species